rnacentral:rRNA from 1 species
UCCAGACUCCUACGGGAGGCAGCAGUGGGGAAUAUUGCACAAUGGGGGAAACCCUGAUGCAGCGACGCCGCGUGAGUGAAGAAGUAUUUCGGUAUGUAAAGCUCUAUCAGCAGGGAAGAAAAUGACGGUACCUGACUAAGAAGCCCCGGCUAACUACGUGCCAGCAGCCGCGGUAAUACGUAGGGGGCAAGCGUUAUCCGGAUUUACUGGGUGUAAGGGGAGCGUAGGUGGCAUGGUAAGCCAGAAGUGAAAACCCGGGGCUCAACCCCGCGGAUUGCUUUUGGAACUAUCAGGCUGGAGUGCUGGAGGGGUAAGCGGAAUUCCUAGUGUAGCGGUGAAAUGCGUAGAUAUUAGGAGGAACACCAGUGGCGAAGGCGGCCUACUGGACGGUGACUGACGCUGAGGCUCGAAAGCGUGGGGAGCAAACAGGAUUAGAUACCCUAGUG